GACGAACGCUGGCGGCGUGCUUAACACAUGCAAGUCGAACGGGCCUGCCUGGCUUUGGUUGGGUGGGUGAGUGGCGAACGGGUGAGUAACACGUGAGUAACCUGCCCUCUUCUCUUGGAUAACUGCUUGAAAGGGCGGCUAAUACGGGAUGUUCUGGCUGCCUCGCAUGGGGUGGUUUGGAAAGAUUCGGCCUGGUUUUGGUUGUUUUGGUGGGGGAUGGGCUCGCGGCUUAUCAGCUUGUUGGUGGGGUGAUGGCCUACCAAGGCGGUGACGGGUAGCCGGCCUGAGAGGGUGGACGGUCACACUGGGACUGAGACACGGCCCAGACUCCUCGGGAGGCAGCAGUGGGGGAUUUUGCACAAUGGGCGCAAGCCUGAUGCAGCGACGCCGCGUGAGGGAUGGAGGCCUUCGGGUUGUGAACCUCUGUCGCCGGUGAUGUA
rnacentral:rRNA from 1 species